rnacentral:rRNA from 1 species
AGAGUUUGAUCAUGGCUCAGAUUGAACGCUGGCGGCAGGCCUAACACAUGCAAGUCGAGCGGUAGCACAGAGAGCUUGCUCUCGGGUGACGAGCGGCGGACGGGUGAGUAAUGUCUGGGAAACUGCCUGAUGGAGGGGGAUAACUACUGGAAACGGUAGCUAAUACCGCAUAACGUCGCAAGACCAAAGUGGGGGACCUUCGGGCCUCAUGCCAUCAGAUGUGCCCAGAUGGGAUUAGCUAGUAGGUGGGGUAACGGCUCACCUAGGCGACGAUCCCUAGCUGGUCUGAGAGGAUGACCAGCCACACUGGAACUGAGACACGGUCCAGACUCCUACGGGAGGCAGCAGUGGGGAAUAUUGCACAAUGGGCGCAAGCCUGAUGCAGCCAUGCCGCGUGUGUGAAGAAGGCCUUCGGGUUGUAAAGCACUUUCAGCGGGGAGGAAGGCGUUAAGGUUAAUAACCUUGGCGAUUGACGUUACCCGCAGAAGAAGCACCGGCUAACUCCGUGCCAGCAGCCGCGGUAAUACGGAGGGUGCAAGCGUUAAUCGGAAUUACUGGGCGUAAAGCGCACGCAGGCGGUCUGUCAAGUCGGAUGUGAAAUCCCCGGGCUCAACCUGGGAACUGCAUUCGAAACUGGCAGGCUAGAGUCUUGUAGAGGGGGGUAGAAUUCCAGGUGUAGCGGUGAAAUGCGUAGAGAUCUGGAGGAAUACCGGUGGCGAAGGCGGCCCCCUGGACGAAGACUGACGCUCAGGUGCGAAAGCGUGGGGAGCAAACAGGAUUAGAUACCCUGGUAGUCCACGCCGUAAACGAUGUCGAUUUGGAGGUUGUGCCCUUGAGGCGUGGCUUCCGGAGCUAACGCGUUAAAUCGACCGCCUGGGGAGUACGGCCGCAAGGUUAAAACUCAAAUGAAUUGACGGGGGCCCGCACAAGCGGUGGAGCAUGUGGUUUAAUUCGAUGCAACGCGAAGAACCUUACCUGGUCUUGACAUCCACAGAACUUUCCAGAGAUGGAUUGGUGCCUUCGGGAACUGUGAGACAGGUGCUGCAUGGCUGUCGUCAGCUCGUGUUGUGAAAUGUUGGGUUAAGUCCCGCAACGAGCGCAACCCUUAUCCUUUGUUGCCAGCGGUCCGGCCGGGAACUCAAAGGAGACUGCCAGUGAUAAACUGGAGGAAGGUGGGGAUGACGUCAAGUCAUCAUGGCCCUUACGACCAGGGCUACACACGUGCUACAAUGGCAUAUACAAAGAGAAGCGACCUCGCGAGAGCAAGCGGACCUCAUAAAGUAUGUCGUAGUCCGGAUUGGAGUCUGCAACUCGACUCCAUGAAGUCGGAAUCGCUAGUAAUCGUAGAUCAGAAUGCUACGGUGAAUACGUUCCCGGGCCUUGUACACACCGCCCGUCACACCAUGGGAGUGGGUUGCAAAAGAAGUAGGUAGCUUAACCUUCGGGAGGGCGCUUACCACUUUGUGAUUCAUGACUGGGGUGAAGUCGUAACAAGGUAACCGUAGGGGAACCUGCGGUUG